rnacentral:rRNA from 1 species
ACGGUAGCAGGUAAGUACUUGUACUUAUGCUGACGAGUGGCGGACGGGUGAGUAAUGCUUGGGGAUCUGGCUUAUGGAGGGGGAUAACGACGGGAAACUGUCGCUAAUACCGCGUAGAAUCGGGAGAUGAAAGUGUGGGACCUUCGGGCCACAUGCCAUAGGAUGAGCCCAAGUGGGAUUAGGUAGUUGGUGGGGUAAUGGCCUACCAAGCCGACGAUCUCUAGCUGGUCUGAGAGGAUGACCAGCCACACCGGGACUGAGACACGGCCCGGACUCCUACGGGAGGCAGCAGUGGGGAAUAUUGCGCAAUGGGGGCAACCCUGACGCAGCCAUGCCGCGUGAAUGAAGAAGGCCUUCGGGUUGUAAAGUUCUUUCGGUGACGAGGAAGGUUGUUGUGUUAAUAGCGCAACAAAUUGACGUUAAUCACAGAAGAAGCAC